CAGUCGCCGCGGUAAUACGAAGGGUGCAAGCGUUAAUCGGAAUUAUUGGGCGUAAAGGGUGCGUAGGUGGUUUGAUAAGUUAUCUGUGAAAUCCCUGGGCUUAACCUGGGCAGGUCAGAUAAGACUGUUGGACUCGAGUAUAGGAGAGGGUAGUGGAAUUUCCGGUGUAGCGGUGAAAUGCGUAGAGAUCGGAAGGAACACCAGUGGCGAAGGCGGCUACCUGGCCUGAUACUGACACUGAGGCACGAAAGCGUGGGGAGCAAACAGGAUUAGAUACCCCCGUAGUCCCUGUCUCUUAUAA
rnacentral:rRNA from 1 species